rnacentral:rRNA from 1 species
ACGGGAAGAAUAAGUAAGGAUUAACACUUCUUACGAUGACGGUACUGUUUGUAAGCUCCGGCCAACUCCGUGCCAGCAGCCGCGGUAAUACGGGGGGAGCAAGCGUUGUUCGGAUUUACUGGGCGUAAAGGGCGCGUAGGCGGCGCAACAAGUCACUUGUGAAAUCUUCAGGCUUAACCUGAAGCGGCCAAGUGAUACUGUCGUGCUCGAGUGCGGAAGGGGCAACCGGAAUUCUUGGUGUAGCGGUGAAAUGCGUAGAUAUCAAGAGGAACACCUGCGGCGAAGGCGGGUUGCUGGGCCGACACUGACGCUGAGGCGCGAAAGCUAGGGGAGCGAACGGGAUUAGAUACCCCGGUAGUCCUAGCCUUAAACGAUGAAUGCUUGGUGUCCGAGGUUAGAUAGUCCUCGGGUGCCGUCGCUAACGCUUUAAGCAUUCCGCCUGGGAAGUACGGUCGCAAGACUGAAACUCAAAGGAAUUGACGGGGACCCGCACAAGCGGUGGAUGAUGUGGAUUAAUUCGAUGCAACGCGAAAAACCUUACCUACCCUUGACAUGUCAGGAAUCCCGAAGAGAUUUGGGAGUGCUCGAAAGAGAGCCUGAACACAGGUGCUGCAUGGCUG